UGAGGACCCCAGUCGCUGGGCUGCCAUUCUGGAGCGCCACGAGAGGUGCUACGGGCGCGAGCGAGCCCCCGAGGGCGGCUGGAAGCCCUGGACUGUUGGUAGAGUGGAAAGGGAUAAAGGGAUCGGUGGGGCGAGCGUCCCCCGUGGCCGGACCUCCCCUCACCGCCCUUCCUCAGAGGGGCGCUUCCGGCCACGUCUGCAGCAGCUGGUGGCCACCAAUCCCCCUGAGCUGGGUGUGCACUGUUCGACCGCCACCUUCUGCCUCCUGCCAGAUGUGGGGGCUGCAGGCACUGAGCUGUGUGCCCUCUGCGGUGUGGGCCCACCACAGCCUCGGUCCUGGCAGCUGGAGCUCCAGAGAUGGACGCCUUCAUGUUAGAUGAGGCAGUGGCCCCAGUGCCCGGCCUGCUGGCCCCACAGUACACCCUCAGCCAGUGCCUCAGGACAGUGGACUCCCUACCUAGUGGAGACAGCGCUGUGGACCUGGGCUGUGGGGCAGAGGCUGUGGCCAGACCUGCUGCCCAACCUUGGCCCCAGCCUGGCCACCCACGAGGAUGCUAGGCCAGCCAAGAAGCAUGGAACCCAGGCCGAGUGAACUCGGCUAUAGCCCAGGCCUGCUCACCUGCCACACAACCUCAGGCCUCCGGGUCUCACUGCACGGCAGGGAGGCUGAAGAGGAGGCUGGCCACUAUGGGAGCUCAAUAAACACUUCCCAAACUCACGCCUGAUCACACA
rnacentral:antisense_RNA from 1 species